GGAAAGGCGCGCGAUACAGGGUGACAGCCCCGUACACAAAAAUGCACAUGCUGUGAGCUCGAUGAGUAGGGCGGGACACGUGGUAUCCUGUCUGAAUAUGGGGGGACCAUCCUCCAAGGCUAAAUACUCCUGACUGACCGAUAGUGAACCAGUACCGUGAGGGAAAGGCGAAAAGAACCCCGGCGAGGGGAGUGAAAAAGAACCUGAAACCGUGUACGUACAAGCAGUGGGAGCACGCUUAGGCGUGUGACUGCGUACCUUUUGUAUAAUGGGUCAGCGACUUAUAUUCUGUAGCAAGGUUAACCGAAUAGGGGAGCCGAAGGGAAACCGAGUCUUAACUGGGCGUUAAGUUGCAGGGUAUAGACCCGAAACCCGGUGAUCUAGCCAUGGGCAGGUUGAAGGUUGGGUAACACUAACUGGAGGACCGAACCGACUAAUGUUGAAAAAUUAGCGGAUGACUUGUGGCUGGGGGUGAAAGGCCAAUCAAACCGGGAGAUAGCUGGUUCUCCCCGAAAGCUAUUUAGGUAGCGCCUCGUGAAUUCAUCUCCGGGGGUAGAGCACUGUUUCGGCAAGGGGGUCAUCCCGACUUACCAACCCGAUGCAAACUGCGAAUACCGGAGAAUGUUAUCACGGGAGACACACGGCGGGUGCUAACGUCCGUCGUGAAGAGGGAAACAACCCAGACCGCCAGCUAAGGUCCCAAAGUCAUGGUUAAGUGGGAAACGAUGUGGGAAGGCCCAGACAGCCAGGAUGUUGGCUUAGAAGCAGCCAUCAUUUAAAGAAAGCGUAAUAGCUCACUGGUCGAGUCGGCCUGCGCGGAAGAUGUAACGGGGCUAAACCAUGCACCGAAGCUGCGGCAGCGACACUAUG
rnacentral:rRNA from 1 species